UUGGAUCUGCAGUGCUCCCAGAUCAAAACCUACAAGUUUUGGUACUCGAGGAAAAUGAAUGGGAGCAUGAAUUCAAUACUUAAACUUAUCCCCUGUUUCUGAUCGUCGAGGGCGCAAGAUCAAAAUGCAUGUGGAAAUGCGUGCGCGUUCAAGCAGCUGCGGUAUUAGUGGCAAUAUAUCAAACAGGUGUCAUGCAACAAAAGAUAGUGGGGGGGUAGAAUAGAAUACGCCGGUGGGAUGGACAAGGAAUGCGUGGUUCGAAGCGGUGGUGGUGGUUCCUUUGGCGUGUCUCUCAAUCAAUCUUUUUGUCCUCGGCGCGCCGUGACGAUGAGAGCAGUCCAAAGCGGGAUGGCAGCUUACGAGGGCCGGCGUCGCUCCUCGAUGCGAUAGCAACGCUCUCUCCUCCUGUCGGCAGAUAUCCGUCCCCUGGCGCUUCGCGGCAGCUCUACACGCUUCCAGAGGACAUAAAUGCCAAAGCAGGCGAAGGCGAUGGUCUCUCGUAGACGCCAACCGGCACAAGUGGUUACAUAACGAACACCAGGCAGCGUUGGUGGAGAGGGGUAGUUUGGGUAGUUGGGAUGAAAUCGCUCGAUUCGUAGGGGCGGAGGCUAAAAAAGGCUCCGGGAGUGACGUGACGG
rnacentral:lncRNA from 1 species